rnacentral:rRNA from 1 species
GACGAACGCUGGCGGCGUGCUUAACACAUGCAAGUCGAACGGUGAACCCGCUUCGGUGGGGGAUCAGUGGCGAACGGGUGAGUAACACGUGGGCAACCUGCCCCCGGCUCUGGGAUAACUCCAAGAAAUUGGGGCUAAUACCGGAUAUGACCGCUGACCGCAUGGUCUGGUGGUGGAAAGAUUUAUCGGCUGGGGAUGGGCCCGCGGCCUAUCAGCUUGUUGGUGGGGUAGUGACCUACCAAGGCGACGACGGGUAGCCGGCCUGAGAGGGUGACCGGCGACACUGGGACGGGGAAACGGCCCAGACUCCUACGGGAGGCAGCAGUGGGGAAUAUUGCGCAAUGGGCGGAAGCCUGACGCAGCGACGCCGCGUGGGGGAUGACGGCCUUCGGGUUGUAAACCUCUUUCAGCAGGGACGAAGCGAAAGUGACGGUACCUGCAGAAGAAGCACCGGCCAACUACGUGCCAGCCGCCGCCGUAAAAC